rnacentral:tRNA from 1 species
GCCCCCGUAGCUCAGUGGAUAGAGCGACGGUUUCCUAAACCGUAGGUCACAGGUUCGAUCCCUGUCGGGGGUA